UUUCCCUCUGGCGGCCCCUCUGCGCACACGUCGACGUUGCUCACGUGGCUCUCGACGUCGAUCGUCAAAAAGCUUUUCCAGCGGGCGCGUCGGCGACUUAAGCGCAAUAUUCGUCCUCAGGAAUGGAUUGUCGCCUUCUCGGAGAAACACGACUUUACGGAGCUUGCUUACGUGGAGUACGUUCGAGCAACAACAUGACGGCUUUCGACAAUUGGGGAGUUUUCGCCACGGAGUGUAUCUUAUCCUGUACUACAGUCUUUGAUACCAUCCUAGCAUGGCAGUACCGCUUUCGUUCUCGCAGCUGUGAGGUACCUCGGCCAAGUUUCAAUUUUUUAUGGAGUCCACUUCCGGUAGCAAGCAGGACCAUUACUUCUCGCAGCGGUCUUCCAGCAUGCCCAAGCCUGUGCGGGAUUCUCUGGCUCAACUUCCGAGGGAUUCUCGUGGCUCACUCGAAGUUUUCAAUCCACAAGGUUACUCUGCUUCUGUGGUUCCUCGGGGAUAUGUCCAGGACAGGAUACAGGAGCUGAAUUUGACUCCGAAAAAGAGCCUUCUGGAGAGCCAGAGCGUGAAAGGCACAACAAGUACAGCCGAGCCUCUUUCUUCUUCCGGGUGGACUCUCACAGAGAAACAAAAUGAUUUCCUUCAAGCAUGGCUAGCAAGCUCUCAGGUGGAUAAGCCUCCUAAAGGUGAUAUAGGUGAAGAAGAGGCACAGCAUUGGAACGACGGUGCUGCUGAACUACACGGAAAGGAUUCGAAAGUUGCCCCCGGGACGGAGCCUGAGAUCUUGACGGAUGCUGUAAUUGCCGAGAGGGCGGCAGAAUGGGGGCUGACGGUGAAAGCGGACAUGAAUUCAGGUAAAGUUCAUGGUGUCAAGGCUCGGACGUCUGCCGAAGAGAAGCGCUCGCGAAGGAACUCGGAUAUGUCAGGAAGGACUUCGGAGGAACAUGAAGGCAGGACGGAUUCUACUUCAGUUCCUCGGGUCUCGAAAGAGCUCAGGGAAGCUCUGUCCACAUUUCAGCAGACAUUCGUGGUUUCUGAUGCGACCAAAGCUGAUUAUCCGAUAUUAUAUGCCAGUGCGGGAUUUUAUAACAUGACGGGAUACACAUCGAAAGAGGUGAUUGGUCGUAACUGUCGAUUUCUCCAAGGCUCUGGAACGGAUCCGAUCGAUGUUUCUAAAAUUCGCGACGCCUUAAGAGAAGGACAGAGCUUUUGUGGCCGGCUGCUCAACUACAAAAAAGAUGGAACUCCUUUCUGGAACCUGCUCACAAUCGCUCCAAUCAAAGAUGAAAAUGGCAAGAUAUUGAAGUACAUUGGAAUGCAAGUCGAAGUAAGCAAGUCCACCGAAGGCAAGAAGGAAAGUGCUUUACGUCCAAACGGACUCCCCGAGUCGCUUAUUCGUUACGAUGCUCGCCAGAAGGACAAGGCAGUCCAUUCUGUCACAGAGCUGGUUGAAGCUGUAAAGAGGCCUCAUCCUCUCAUUGAACCCGUCGCUGAGCGUGGUCCCGCGGCAUCUAUUUCUGGUUCAGAACGAAACAAUUCAAUUCCGAGAAGGCACAGUCUUCCAGAUGUUUCAGAGGUAAUAGGGAAAACUGGUAAAUCGAAGAGACGAUCAUCAGGCUUUUUCAAUCUCUUGAGAUUCUCGAAAAGUGACCAUCCUCACGAGCAGACAAUGGACAUUUCCGAGCCCGAGCUUAUCACAUCAACUAUUGAAGAAGAAGAGACUCUAGAGAGUCUUGAUAUAGAUCGUGCAGAAGAAAUACGUAAAGGGUUUGAUCUGGCAACAACUCUUGAACGUAUCGAGAAGAAUUUCGUCAUUACUGAUCCACGCUUGCCAGACAACCCAAUCAUAUUCGCGUCGGACUCUUUUCUAGAACUGACGGAGUACACUCGGGAAGAAAUCCUUGGACGAAAUUGCAGGUUUCUGCAAGGAGCUGGAACUGACGUAGAAACAGUGAAGAAAAUUCGUGAUGCUAUCAGAGAACAGCGCGAUAUCACAGUUCAGCUGCUUAACUACACAAAGAGUGGCAAACCAUUCUGGAACCUCUUCCACUUGCAGGCAAUGAAAGACAACAAGGGAGAGUUGCAAUACUUUAUAGGUGUGCAACUUGAUGGGAGUGAGUACAUAGAACCCAUUCGUCAGAGACUCUCGGAGAGAACGGAACAAGAAGGUGCCAAAGUGGUUCGUGCGACUGCUGCCAAUGUUGAUGAAGCUGUUCGAGAGCUUCCUGAUGCAAACCAAACACCCGACGACCUUUGGGCUAAACACUCUAAAGUCGUCUAUCCAAAGCCCCAUAAAGUCAACACCCCCGCUUGGGAUGCCAUUAAAAAGAUUCGAACUAGUGGCGAGAAACUGGGACUCCACCAUUUUCGGCCCGUCAAAUCUCUUGGGUUUGGUGACACGGGAAGUGUACAUUUAGUAGAGUUGAAAGGUUCCAGCCAGUAUUUUGCCAUGAAGAGCAUGGACAAGAGCGUGAUGAUAAACAGAAACAAGGUUCAUCGUGCAUGUGCCGAAAGAGAGAUUCUUGGAUUGAUGGACCAUCCGUUCCUCCCGACAUUAUAUGCUUCUUUUCAGACUGCGACUCAUGUUUGCUUAGUGACAGACUUUUGUCCUGGAGGGGAACUCUUUCUUCAAAUGGAGAAACAACCACUAAAAUGUUUUGCAGAGGAAGUAGUAAGAUUUUAUGCCGCAGAAGUCUUGGUUGCCCUGGAGUAUCUUCAUUGCCUGGUGCAGGCGUUGUCUAUCGAGAUCUCAAACCGGAAAACGUUCUAGUCCAAGCGAACGGACAUUUGUGUUUGACGGACUUUGAUCUUUCUUUGCUAUCUACAACAAAACCACAGCUGAUACGUCCAGUGCUUCCGUCGGGGAAAAGGAAGCCAAAGAUACCGCCGCCGCCAGCGUUUGUAGCCGAGCCUUUAGCACGAUCCAACUCUUUUGUGGGAACAGAGGAGUAUAUUGCCCCUGAAAUCAUCAAAGGCUCAGGCCAUGGAAGUGCCGUAGAUUGGUGGGCUUUCGGCAUACUAGUGUACGAGAUGUUAUUUGGACGAACACCAUUCCGGGGAAAGAACAGGCAAAAAACUUUCGAGAACGUGUUACAAAAGGAUCUCGUCUUUCCGAGCAGUAAACCCGUUAGUCUACAAGCGAAGCAACUCAUACGAUCGCUGCUCCAACGUGAUCCCUCCAAGAGACUAGGAGGUUUAAACGGAGCAUACGAAAUCAAGCGACAUCCUUUCUUCACCGGUAUCAACUGGCCUCUCAUACGCUGCAUGCCGGCGCCAGAGCUCGACACUCCAAUCCAAUUCAUUGACAAAAACGCAGAACCAGCGGCCACGAAAGAUGAGAACUACGCUGACGUUUUCUAGGAGGCCAAGGUAAUGUUGUCAUAUGGUUUUGGAAUUUCCUUGUUUCUCUUCUAGCGAAUUUCAUGAGAUCAAAACCAAGGUUGUAUGAGAGAUAGAGCUUUGGUAA